rnacentral:tRNA from 1 species
AAUUGUUUAGUCUAAGUUAAGAUUUAUAUUUUGAAAGUAUGAGAUAAUUUUAAAAAAAUUAACAAUUU